rnacentral:rRNA from 1 species
GACGAACGCUGGCGGCGUGCUUAACACAUGCAAGUCGAACGGAAAGGCCCUGCUUUUGUGGGGGGCUCGAGUGGCGAACGGGUGAGUAACACGUGAGUAACCUGCCCUUGACUUUGGGAUAACUUCAGGAAACUGGGGCUAUUACCGGAUAUGAACUCCUGCUGCAUGGUGGGGGUUGGAAAGUUUAGGCGGUUGGGGAUGGACUCGCGGUUUAUCAGCUUGUUGGUGGGGGAGUGGACUACCAAGGCUUUGACGGGUAGCCGGCCUGGGAGGGUGACCGGCGACAUUGGGACUGGGAUACGGCCCAGACCCGUACGGGAGGCAGCAGUGGAGAAUAUUGCACAAUGAGCGGACGCCUGAUGCAGCAACGCCGCGUGCGUGAUGAUGGCCUUCGGGUUGUAAACAGCUUACGCCUGUGACGGAGCGUGCGUGACGGUAACGGGUAAAGAAGCACCGGCUAACUACGUG